rnacentral:rRNA from 7 species
AGAGUUUGAUCAUGGCUCAGAUUGAACGCUGGCGGCAGGCCUAACACAUGCAAGUCGAGCGGUAGCACAGAGAGCUUGCUCUCGGGUGACGAGCGGCGGACGGGUGAGUAAUGUCUGGGAAACUGCCUGAUGGAGGGGGAUAACUACUGGAAACGGUAGCUAAUACCGCAUAAUGUCGCAAGACCAAAGUGGGGGACCUUCGGGCCUCAUGCCAUCAGAUGUGCCCAGAUGGGAUUAGCUAGUAGGUGGGGUAACGGCUCACCUAGGCGACGAUCCCUAGCUGGUCUGAGAGGAUGACCAGCCACACUGGAACUGAGACACGGUCCAGACUCCUACGGGAGGCAGCAGUGGGGAAUAUUGCACAAUGGGCGCAAGCCUGAUGCAGCCAUGCCGCGUGUGUGAAGAAGGCCUUCGGGUUGUAAAGCACUUUCAGCGGGGAGGAAGGCGGUGAGGUUAAUAACCUCAUCGAUUGACGUUACCCGCAGAAGAAGCACCGGCUAACUCCGUGCCAGCAGCCGCGGUAAUACGGAGGGUGCAAGCGUUAAUCGGAAUUACUGGGCGUAAAGCGCACGCAGGCGGUCUGUCAAGUCGGAUGUGAAAUCCCCGGGCUCAACCUGGGAACUGCAUUCGAAACUGGCAGGCUAGAGUCUUGUAGAGGGGGGUAGAAUUCCAGGUGUAGCGGUGAAAUGCGUAGAGAUCUGGAGGAAUACCGGUGGCGAAGGCGGCCCCCUGGACAAAGACUGACGCUCAGGUGCGAAAGCGUGGGGAGCAAACAGGAUUAGAUACCCUGGUAGUCCACGCCGUAAACGAUGUCGAUUUGGAGGUUGUGCCCUUGAGGCGUGGCUUCCGGAGCUAACGCGUUAAAUCGACCGCCUGGGGAGUACGGCCGCAAGGUUAAAACUCAAAUGAAUUGACGGGGGCCCGCACAAGCGGUGGAGCAUGUGGUUUAAUUCGAUGCAACGCGAAGAACCUUACCUGGUCUUGACAUCCACAGAACUUAGCAGAGAUGCUUUGGUGCCUUCGGGAACUGUGAGACAGGUGCUGCAUGGCUGUCGUCAGCUCGUGUUGUGAAAUGUUGGGUUAAGUCCCGCAACGAGCGCAACCCUUAUCCUUUGUUGCCAGCGGUCCGGCCGGGAACUCAAAGGAGACUGCCAGUGAUAAACUGGAGGAAGGUGGGGAUGACGUCAAGUCAUCAUGGCCCUUACGACCAGGGCUACACACGUGCUACAAUGGCAUAUACAAAGAGAAGCGACCUCGCGAGAGCAAGCGGACCUCAUAAAGUAUGUCGUAGUCCGGAUUGGAGUCUGCAACUCGACUCCAUGAAGUCGGAAUCGCUAGUAAUCGUAGAUCAGAAUGCUACGGUGAAUACGUUCCCGGGCCUUGUACACACCGCCCGUCACACCAUGGGAGUGGGUUGCAAAAGAAGUAGGUAGCUUAACCUUCGGGAGGGCGCUUACCACUUUGUGAUUCAUGACUGGGGUGAAGUCGUAACAAGGUAACCGUAGGGGAACCUGCGGUUGGAUCACCU